AGGGAACGGUACAAGGGAACGCUGGGGAGGGGAGAGAAUCUGGAGAGUUCCGGAAAAAGCAAGUAGGACUCUUUCCAGAAGUUCGGGCAAGAUUUUCCCUGGAUCAGGGCGUGGGUUCUCCAGUACUCGUCCCUCCCGGUCACCGAGAUGCUCUGAGUUUCCGGUCUGAACCUGAACUAAAGAGGUGUAGUCCCUCCUUUCUUGAACGGGAAAACUGAACGCACAUAGGUCCUUGCCACGCCUAAGGCUGCGGAGUGAGCAGAUGGAAAAUGCGGGACUCAAAACCUCCCCUCGCUAUUGUGCACGCGCCGGAGCAGCGGCGCACCAGCCCCCGGCUCCGGCGCCACCAUCUUCGCGCUAAGCUCUGGCCAAGGCCGCUGCGGCAUCGCAGUGAUCCGGACCAGCGGCCCUGCCAGCGGCCACGCCCUCCGAAUUCUCACGGCACCCCGAGACCUGCCCCUUGCUCGCCACGCCAGCCUGCGCCUGCUCAGCGAUCCCCGCUCCGGGGAGCCUCUGGACCGCGCACUGGUGCUCUGGUUCCCAGGUCCCCAGAGUUUCACCGGUGAGGACUGCGUGGAGUUCCACGUUCAUGGAGGCCCGGCAGUGGUGAGCGGCGUCCUGCAGGCCUUGGGCAGCGUGCCAGGGCUUCGACCGGCGGAGGCAGGCGAGUUCACCAGACGGGCGUUCGCCAAUGGGAAGCUGAACCUGACCGAAGUGGAGGGGCUGGCGGACCUUAUCCACGCGGAAACAGAGGCGCAGCGGCGGCAGGCCCUCAGGCAGCUGGACGGAGAGCUAGGCCACCUCUGCCGUGGCUGGGCCGAGACCCUCACCAAAGCUCUGGCCCACGUGGAGGCCUAUAUCGAUUUCGGCGAGGAUGACAACCUGGAGGAGGGGGU
rnacentral:sRNA from 1 species